rnacentral:rRNA from 1 species
CAGGCCUUGACAUCCAGAUGACGCAUGGGUAAAGCCAUGUUUCCUUCGGGACAUCUGAGACAGGUGGUGCAUGGUUGUCGUCAGCUCGUGUCGUGAGAUGUUGGGUUAAGUCCCGCAACGAGCGCAACCCCUGUUUCCUGUAGCCAGCAUUUCGGAUGGGGACUCAGGAGAGACUGCCCGGGAGAACCGGGAGGAAGGCGGGGAUGACGUCAAAUCAUCAUGCCCCUUAUGGUCUGGGCUACACACGUGCUACAAUGGCGUAAACAAAGGGAAGCGACCCUGUGAGGGCAAGCAGACCCCAAAAAUAACGUCCCAGUUCGGAUUGCAGUCUGCAACUCGAGUGCAUGAAGCUGGAAUCGCUAGUAAUCGCGGAUCAGAAUGCCGCGGUGAAUACGUUCCC